CAAAUUAGAGCUUGUUAUAAGUAUUUUAUUUACAUUAAAAUGGAAAUUGUGAGAAUCAAUUUAAUUUGA
rnacentral:tRNA from 1 species